AUGUUCCUCCUGUACCCCCCGGGACACUCCGUGUCCCCAGCCACAUCCCAACAUCCCUCCUGUCCCCCCUGCUUUGCUCUGGGACCCCACAUUCCCCUGGGACCCCUGUGGCCCCAAACCCCACGUCCCAUUCACCCCCUAUGUCUCCCUGUACCCCCUCCGCCCCAUUCCCCUCCACAGCCCUGGGCCGCCUGUCCACCUACCCUGGCCCCAUGUCCCCCUAGCCCUGCCCCAGGGCCCCCCCGGCCUCCCAGGCUGACCCCCAGACCCGUGUCUCGGGUCCCACUGACCCCCCCUGUCCCCAGACCCCUAGGUGACCGAAGCCGUGGGUCCCCCACCACCCCAUCCCCUUACAGCCCCUGUGCCCUCAUGUCCUGCACAGCCACGUGCCCCCCCCAGACCCCGAGUCCUACCAGGGCCCUUGUCCCCUACGUGACCUCACGGUCACCUCCUCCCAGUGUCCUCCAGACCCCAUACCUUCCCAGACACUACUCCCCCGGGGCUCCCCCUCAAGUUCUGUGCCCCCAUCUCAUGCUCCAUGGACCCCCAGCCCCGUGUCCCCUCCGUGUCCCUCGUCCCUCACGUGUGCCCACCCUGGCCCCCACAGACACCCGGACUCCCAGCUCCCUGCCAUGCUGCCUACCCGUGUGGCAGUGCCUCCCGACCCUCUGUGCCCUACGGGGUCCCCCAGUGUCGCCCCCAGUCCCGGUGCCCCCCCCCGCACUCACCGCGGACGCGGGGCUGCUCACUCAGCCCCGCCGCAUCCCGCUGCGCUCCGGAGGGGGCCGGGGGGAGCUCAGGGGCGACCAGGGGCUCGGCACGGGGGGAGGUCCGGCCUCCCCGGUGUCCCGGGGGGGGAGUACGGCAGCCCCGGUGCCGCUGUCGGGGGAGCCGAUGUCCGGGGGCGGGGGCUCGUCCGCUGGGCCGGGGACUCGGGGGGACCCCGGUGGCCCGGCGGUUCCCGGCGUCCCGGCCGCUCUCUCAGUCUCCGCGAAGUUUUCUCCUUUGUCUCCCGCUGUCCCGUCCCGCCCCGCCCCGCCGCACCGGGACGGCCCCCGGUACCGGAACGGCCCCCGCGCCCCCGCCCGGUUACGGCGGGACACCCCGGGACCGGCCCCGGCCCCGGCCCCGGGAACGGGACGGGCCCCCCGCCCGUCGCCCCGCGCCCUCGCCCCAGCCCCCCCACCCCGUAGCGGGGCACAGCCCGAGCAUGGCCCGGGGCCAAGAGCUGCCCCUGCUCUCCGGGCUGCCAGGCUGGGGCAGACUGGGAGCACUGGGAAGGCUGGGGUGGGUGUGGGGACGCUGCAGGGCCUGGGGGGGCACUGGGUGUCGCAGAGAGGGCACUGGGGCACACAGGGACAGGGCGGAGGGAGAGGAUGGAGGGGUAGGAUGGACAGAGGGAUGGAGAGAGGACGCACGGACAGGACGGGCAGGGGGAUGGAGGGAGGACACACA
rnacentral:lncRNA from 1 species